rnacentral:lncRNA from 1 species
AGAUAGAAAACCUUAAAGGAAAAGAUUUUAUUUGUUUUAUUUUUGUAAUUAAUCAUUUGUAAUUAUUAUUAUAAAAGAACGGAAUGGAAGCUUCUCAAUCUCCUCCUAGUAGCAUUCUCUCUCUUUAAUUUUGGGCUCCUCGAUCCUCGGCGAUGAUUCGACAUAAUCCAGGAAGAAGAAAGAGGGGUGCGAGGGUCUCCAUAAAUAGAAAAACUCUAACCCCAUUUUUCCAAUAUCACCCUUACCAAUCUCCGAACUCAUUAUAGGACCAUAGAGGUAAUAUUUUAUUUUAAAUUUAAUUAUUUAUUAAAUCUACUUGUUAAUCUAAUACGAAUUAUUAAUCUAAUUAAUUAUACCAUGUGAAACCCUAAAAUAUUAUUAAUUAUUAAUCUAAUUAAUUAAUUAGAUUAAUAAGAAUUAUUAAUCUAAUUAAUUAUUAUUCUAAUUUAAUUAUACCUAGUGAAACCCUAAAAUUUCCUAGCAUUACAUUUAUUGAUCCACUUUGUUCCUUUUUACCUUGCAUCCUUCUUGUCUUGAUAGGUAGAGACACCGGUUCAAAAGAUCAGCGGCUUCAUUUUGGAUGACUAUAUUUCUUGAACAAUCUCAUUGAAAUAUAGUUGUACAAGCUCAUUCAGUUAAGCACUCUUGUAAUUUUCACUUUACUUUCUUAGGCAUGAUUUGUUUGAGCAGCACCAAAGAUGUAGAAUUGUAGAUUAAUCUUGUUGUAACUAACAUUAGUGGCAAUAAUCAAUAAAGGUUUUGUGGUCGUUAGUCUAUUCUUCUUGUUUAUCAUGUUUUCCUUUUUUACUCUAAUGUAGCAUAA